rnacentral:rRNA from 1 species
UAAGGCUUUAAUUGAGUGCUAAGAGAAUGGUUUAACAAAAAUUAACUUUCUUUAAAUUUAUAAUAGAAGUUGAUUUAAAAAUGAAAAAGUUUUUAUUUAUUUUUGGGACAAGAAGACCCUAUGAAUUUUUUUUAUGUUUUUAUUUAAAAUUUUUUAAAAAUAAAAUGAAGUGAAUUUAUAAGUUGAUUGGGGUGAUUUUUAAAGAAUAUUUAUCUUUAAAAGCUGUAGGAAUUAGAACCAAAAUUUUUGGUUGUUUGAAUAAAAUACUCUAGGGAUAACAGCGUAAUUAUUUUGGAUAGUUCAUAUAGAUAAAAUAGUUUGCGACCUCGAUGUUGGAUUAAGAUAC